UACGUAGGUUGCAAGCGUUGUCCGGAAUCAUUGGGCGUAAAGCGCGUGUAGGCGGCUAGGUAAGUCUGCUCUGAAAGCCCGGGGCUCAACCCCGGGAGGCGGGUGGAUACUGUUUAGCUCGAGUCCGGAAGAGGAGUGUGGAAUUCCUGGUGUAGCGGUGAAAUGCGCAGAUAUCAGGAGGAACACCAGCGGCGAAGGCGCCGCUCUGGGCCGUAACUGACGCUGAGGAGCGAAAGCAUGGGUAGCAAACAGG
rnacentral:rRNA from 1 species